AGAGUUUGAUCCUGGCUCAGGACGAACGCUGGCGGCGUGCUUAACACAUGCAAGUCGAGCGGGGAUGCGAGCCUGAUCGCUUCGGCGUGAAGGCUAGUGUCCUANCGGCGGACGGGUGAGUAACGCGUGGGCAACCUGCCCUCAAGACCGGGAUACCAACUCGAAAGGGUUGUUAAUACCGGAUGUGAUGGAUGGCUCGCAUGAGUUGUUCAUCAAAGGAGCGAUCCGCUUGAGGAGGGGCCUGCGUUCCAUUAGCUAGUUGGUGAGGUAGCGGCUCACCAAGGCGACGACGGGUAGCCGGCCUGAGAGGGUGACCGGCCACACUGGGACUGAGACACGGCCCAGACUCCUACGGGGGGCAGCAGUGGGGAAUAUUGCACAAUGGGCGAAAGCCUGAUGCAGCGACGCCGCGUGGGCGAAGAAGGCCUUCGGGUUGUAAAGCCCUGUCUGGAGGGACGAAAUAAUGACGGUACCUCCGGAGGAAGCCACGGCUAACUACGUGCCAGCAGCCGCGGUAAU
rnacentral:rRNA from 1 species